GCAGCAUAUCCUCAGAAAAUAUUCUUUCUAGAAAUGAUAUUGCCCAGAUGACACCACAGAGUAAAACCACCCCCAAAAACAGCUCAUCUCCCCAGAACACAUCAUCUUUAAAGAGCUCCAUGGAAGUGCCUCUAAGUGUUACAACCACAGGCACUCAUCACAAGGAAAGGCGGUCUUUCCUGUGUGAAACAUCUGAACCAUGCUCCACCAGUGCCAAGCCCCAGAGUGUGAUCACAGCCUCUUCCCACAACAUAAGGCGAUGCUGGAAGAGGGUGAAGAGGAGAACGGUGAAUUGUUUUCAAAGCCUGUGUUGCUGCCUCUUUCCCCAAAGGAGAAGACAUGCUUCUCAGAAGAAAGUGGCUCCAGUGGAAUGGGAGAAUGGAGUCACAUAAAAUGAGAUGGACAAAGCAACAGCUUCCUUAUUAUCUGGAACCUGAGAAAGCUGACCUGGACAUAGACAACAGAAAUGGUUACCAGUGGCUGUGGAGGCACUGAAGAAGUGUUGACAAAAGGAAACAGAUGUUCAGAAGGGAAGAAUCAGUGAUGAAACAUCACGGACACUGAGGCAUGGAGUGGGAAAUCAGCCUGUGUGGAUUGAGACAUCUGUAGCAUGAACCAGGCAGAAAGUCCAGGUGACAGUGUGCCUGCAUACCCAGCAAAGAGGCUCUGUCUAGCACAAA